GCCCCGCUGCGCCCCCGCCCGGGUCCCAUCAACGGAGCGGCCGCCGCCCGGGCCGGCCACACAAAAUGGCGGCGGCUCUUUGUUCGGCGCCGGCGGGGCCUGACGCCUCCAUCCGCCCCACCGCGGUGCCCGGCCCGGGUCAGCCCGGCCCUGACCCCCAGAUGAGGCGCUCACCGAAUCCCGGGGUGGGCGCGAGAAGGGAGCACGCGCUACGCUGCAGCCGACUCGAUCCCAAACAGGCUCCGCUCUGCUUCUCCUCACUGGACAAAAUGGCGGCCCCCGCCUUCCCUGCCCGGACUUAUAUAGCCCCACCCUGCCAUCACGUGCCCAGCCGGCUGUCAAAUCACAGAGCGCCUCUCAAAGGAGUGACAGUUCCAUGGAACCCGCCUUCGCCUGCUUCCUGAAUAGGGCCCGGGCCAGCCCUUCCCCCUCCCAACGUCCUGCAGGGCCAGCGCCAGACCCCAGACCUGGGGCCCAUUGGGGACCCAGGGCGGAGGCUGUGGUUAAUGUGCAAAGUCAUGAGGGAGGUAUAAAAGAAGCUGGAAGACACACAGUGUCAUUGCAACUGGAACUUCACUUCAGGACUUGCCGUGAGACGGAGCUGUGCUGAUCUGGAUUUGACCGUGUACUGUACUCUUUAGGAUCAACACAGAUACAAAGAAGUCAGAAGAUG